rnacentral:piRNA from 1 species
ACUGCUUGUCGGCUUUUGACCUCUA